CUCUCCUAAAAGUUUCUGCUAAAGUCGUCUCACCAUUAAACAAGGCCACGUACUGCAAGAGACGGAAAGAAACGAAAAUUAAUCAAACAAAACAAACAAGCAGGAAAAAAACGAGAGAGAAGAAGGCAACACGAACAACAGAAUAGUAGAGCUCAAGCAAAGAUGAGUAGAGGGGAAGGAAAAAAAUAGAGGGGAAAACAAAAGAAAGGCGAGAGAUCUUUGACCAGCUCCGGUCUCACUCGCCUUCCAUCUCCUUCCUUCCUCCUCCUCGGCCCCGUCGUUGGUUGGCUUUACCCACUGGCGGAUUCCCACACGGCCCAGACGCCGCCACCGCUGACCCCGUCUACACCAAAUCCCCCCGCACAAUUUAACCACCCCACUCCCCCCUUCUCUCUUCUCUCUCUCCAUCUCCACACACACACCAAACGCGCACGCCGUCCGCCGGUUCUCGAUUUGGCCUGUUCCCCUCUCUGCUCUGCUCUCUUCUGCUCGCAGAUCUCCUUUGGUCGGGCGGUUUCUUGAUUUGGGGGUCCGCGUGCUGCGGGGUAUUAUUGGCGGGAGAUGGGCAACUGCUGCGUGACGGCGGGGGAAGGCGGCGGGAGUGGCAGGAAGAAGCAGCCCAAGGAGCCGAAGCAGAAGAAGGGCAAGAAGCCCAACCCUUUCUCGAUCGAGUACAACCGGUCGGCGCCGCCGGGGGCCACGAAGCUGGUGGUGCUGCGGGAGCCCACGGGGCGGGACAUCGCCGCGCGGUACGAGCUGGGCGGGGAGCUAGGCCGCGGGGAGUUCGGGGUCACCUACCUCUGCACGGACCGCGCCACAGGGGAGGCCCUCGCCUGCAAGUCCAUCUCCAAGAAGAAGCUCCGGACAGCGGUGGACAUCGAGGACGUGCGCCGCGAGGUUGAGAUCAUGCGCCACCUCCCCAAGCACCCCAACAUCGUCACCCUCAGGGACACGUACGAGGACGACAAUGCCGUGCACCUCGUCAUGGAGCUCUGCGAGGGCGGGGAGCUCUUCGACCGGAUCGUCGCACGGGGGCACUACACCGAGCGCGCCGCCGCAGUGGUUACCAAAACCAUCGUCGAGGUCGUGCAGGUGAGACUAGCCCGAUGAUUUCCUGAUGCCUUGGUCGUUUUAUGGUUGCAACGGUGUUAGAUUGUCUUUUGAUAAGAUCGUCUUCAGAGUAUUCUGGAAGAUGUUCAUUGGGGAUUCAUGGUAGAAUUUACUCGUAUACUAUAGGGGCCUAGGGCAAAGUUACUGUAGGUGAGAUGGAGUAGGUUAUGAUCGAAUUUGUGAAGCAAUUAGUUACUCUAUGCUGUUCUUCAUUAGCUAUUCAUGCCUGCAUCUUUAAAUUGGUAGCUGGAUUGCUGCAACUCCCCCUUUUUGUGUGUGUACGAAUAACGCUUACACUGUUUCCGUCCCUUACAAUAUCAGAUGUGCCAUAAGCAUGGGGUGAUGCACCGGGACCUCAAACCAGAGAAUUUCUUGUUUGCAAACAAGAAAGAAACCGCGGCACUUAAGGCAAUUGAUUUUGGCCUCUCUGUAUUUUUCACUCCAGGUACAAUCAUGAUAUCAUAUAUUUCUUAUAUAGCUGCUCCCUCCGUUCCUAAAUUCUUGUCGCUGUUUUAGUUCAAAUCUGUACUAAAACAGCGACAAGUAUUUAGGAACGGAGAUGGUAUCUCCGAAGCUUUCUGUUUUAACCCAUCUGUCACUUGCCUGAUAAUAUGAUCAGAGGACAGUGCCAAUAGAGUGGCCUCUCUGCUGUCUAUUUAGUUUAUAUGUUGUUUUCCUAUCAUGCUGAUUGUUCAUUAUGUGUAGGUGAACGGUUCACUGAGAUUGUUGGAAGUCCUUAUUACAUGGCUCCGGAGGUGUUGAAGAGAAACUAUGGCCAAGAGGUUGAUGUUUGGAGUGCAGGAGUGAUUCUCUACAUUCUUCUUUGUGGUGUUCCUCCAUUCUGGGCAGGUUAGUUUUGCACUUGAAAAGAGCAACUAUGACUGUCAUAUGUCAACUAAGUUAAGCAUUUAGGAUGAUAAUAAAAAGUGGAAUGUGUCUGUGUUCUGAUCUCCUGUCUUUGAAAAUGGACCGUGUGUCACAUUCUGCAAUGAUGGGAUUUCUCUUUUUUGUCUAAUUUGCAAUGUGGCGAUAAUCUGUGUACUGUGGUUGAGCAAAAUAUAUUUAUCUUGUGCUAUUGAAAGUUCUGUCAGAAUAAUAUGUUUGUUAUUUCCAUUUUAUAAUGCAGAAACUGAACAAGGUGUUGCUCAAGCAAUUAUCCGUUCUGCCAUUGACUUUAAAAGGGAUCCAUGGCCAAGGGUCUCUGAUAAUGCAAAGGACCUUGUCAGGGGAAUGCUUAACCCAGAUCCAAAGCGGCGAUUAACAGCCCAGCAAGUACUUGGUAAUAAUCAAAUUCUCACACUAGUUAAUUGUACGGUGUUUCAUUUCUUCUGUUCUUCUUGAACCAACAUGGAUAUGCUUUCCAUCCUCAAAAUGUGAAGAUUCUGAGUUACAAAGAUGCAAAAUUUAUAAUCCAAGUUCAGAAACCUUGCAAUUAAAAUUGAGUAGAUAUAUAUUUCUGAAGAUUUCUGCCCUAUAUAUAUUUAUUGCUUUUGCUCAUGAUAGUAACUUGUAUUUUCUUCCAGAUCAUCCGUGGUUGCAAAAUAUUAAGAAGGCACCAAAUGUCAAUUUGGGUGAAACUGUCAAGGCCAGACUUCAACAAUUCUCUGUGAUGAACAAGUUCAAGAAGCAUGCACUUAGGGUAUACCUCAGUCUGGCCCGAACCUCAAUUGAUCAUGCCUUUCGACAAUUCUCUUUGAUUUCCUUUCUUGGAACUUCCUCACAUGUUUUUUUUUGCUACAGGUCAUAGCUGAGCAUCUUUCGGUAGAGGAGGUGGCUGGCAUAAAGGAUAUGUUUGAAAAGAUGGACCUUAACAAAGAUAGUAUGAUUAAUUUUGAUGAGCUGAAGCUUGGUUUGAAUAAGCUUGGACACCAAAUGCCUGAUGCAGAUGUCCAAAUACUAAUGGAUGCUGUGAGUAAUCAUUACUAUUUUCUGUCAUUAUGGGAACCUCUUGCAGCUCUUUGUUAUUAUAUUGGAUUGUAGUUAUUUUUGUAGAAACGAGAACCACCCUUUCCGUAGUGUUAUCAACUGGGUCUCAUAAGUAACUUAUCAGAUAUCAAAAUCCAAAAUCAUGUCAUUUAAAUUCGAUAAAAUGAAAUCGUUAGCAUUCUUUAAUGAUAGUGAUAGAUACAGUUUCUACUGUUCUACAUACUACUAUGUGUUGAAGGUGGUCGUUAUUUUGUGUUUUAUACUCACCAUUUGCUCAUUAUGUUAUGUCAGGCGGACGCUGAUGGAAAUGGAUGCUUAGACUAUGGAGAAUUUGUUACUCUGUCCGUUCACCUAAAAAAGAUUGGCAAUGACGAGCAUCUGCAUAAGGCAUUUGCAUACUUUGAUCGGAACAAGAGUGGAUAUAUUGAAAUUGACGAGCUCCGCGAGUCAUUAGCGGAUGACCUGGGACACAAUCAUGAAGAGGUUAUCAAUGCCAUCAUCCGCGAUGUGGACACUGAUAAGGUUUGUGGUUCCUCACCAGUUAGUUGGUAAAGCAUGGCAGUUUUGUUUCCCGUCUUUUGGACAGCUAUUAUUUUGACUGUGACUGAAAUGCUGAACGUUGUGAUUCAAAAUGUAGGAUGGCAAGAUAAGCUUUGAUGAGUUUGUGGCAAUGAUGAAGGCUGGAACGGACUGGAGGAAAGCCUCGAGACAGUAUUCCAGAGAACGGUUCACUAGCCUUAGCUUAAAGCUGCAGAAGGAUGGAUCGUUGCAGAUAACAACCCAAUAGUAGAUGAUAACGCAAUAGGCAAGUUGUGAAUUCCAGAUGGAAAAACCUUGUGUAGCUUCCUGGUUCUUCGUUGACAACUGUUUCUUCUGUUCGUCUCGAUACUCUGUUGCUCUCUAUUUUUGCUUGGUAUCUUGAUGAAGCAUUAGUUGAUUGUUGAAGAUUUGUUUGUACUUAGAUUGUGUGAUCCAGGCCAUCACGAACACCACGCCUUUGGCCAAAUGUACUGUUACUGUACAAGAGAAAGAGGAAAAACACGGUGGUUGUAUGCAUUUCUUCUCUUCUGUUGGCAUGUAGAGGAUGUACGCAGAGAUUCAUGAAUCAUCGCAAGGUCACAACAAAUUCUAAAAUUUGGUAGUGUCAGCUAAAAAUACAAAGUUUCAUUUUGGAGUGUUCAAUAUUUGUUCCAGUCUCUACCUAGAAAAGGAUCUUCGGAGUAGAUUUUUUUUUUGAGUAGAUUUGAACACCUAAAAGUUUGACUUGUUAUAUUCUUGUGAAGAAUCUAUGACAUUGUAACGGGCACAGAACAAGGUGAGGACGCAUUAAAUGUGCCAAAUAUAUUUGUUGGAUCUGGUCGGCACAAGUUGCUGUCUUGUUAGUUGUCACAGAUAUUUGCGACCGAAAGGGGGUUGCCGUCCUGGAGCAGACACUGCACCAGCAGCCAGCAGUACCAGAUUAGGCCCCGGAGCAUUGGAUUGGAUAUGAGUUAGUUCGAGCUGGUUCUUCUCAAGUUCUCUUUGACCUUUGACCCGUGUUCUCUCUGUUUUCUUCUUGCCAUUACAAUAAAUAUGUGUGUUCUCAUGAUGAUGGACCCACUGACACUUUGGUCAAAUGAGAAGGUAAUUUGAAGUAAUUAGUGGACAACGAUGACGUCGGUGAUGCAGCCGAAUGCAUGGAAUUUCACUGGUUGUGCAGUUUGCUUGCAAACAAGCACUCUUGCUUGGCGAUGAAACCAGGCUAAGAAAAAAAAAUGGGGCAAAAAGGUGGACUGGAUGGAGUUCUUCCUUUUCCACAUCAAACUUGUGCAGUAGUCUGUACGCACCGUUGUAUGUGUCAGAUGAGACGAUCAUGAGAGCGCGGAAUCACCGAGACUUGCGAGAAAGUUACGGUAGACUUUUGGUCAAUAAGUGAAAAGAACGGGGGAAAAAUAAGGAUCGGAUCCUAGCAUAAGAUUGGACUACGUCCAAAACAUUAAAAAAAAAAGCACUGCCGUAACAUUGUAUUUCUACACAUGUAAAACAAAAACAUAUUUCGGCCGACUCAUAAUAAGUGUCUCAAAUCUAAUACAAAGUUAGUACAAAACUGUACUAAACCUGAGACACUUAUUAUGGAUCGUAUUCUUAAAUUUCCAAAACUUAUGAAGCACAUAGCCAAUGGAUAAAAACUCACCCUUCUAAAUUUUAAUUAAAAAAAGAUAACCAUUUGUGAGCCAUGUAAAAAUCACAAAACUGGACACAAAACAUGAUUUGUAUGCAUGUUGAGAAUUAUGUUGAGAAUUACAAGGAGACGUUCCUACUGAUUCUCCGUAUGCAUGAUUUAUUGUGUAGUUUUUUAGAACUUAAAAUUAUACCUUUUUGGUUAAGUUUUUUUUUUCUAGAAUUAUCCAAGUAUUGUAUAUUGAAGAAGAGAGACUGCAGAGUAGUUACAACGCCCCUAGGGUGUGGGUAUCUUACACGCUCACACCUACUCCACACAUUGCCCACUAAGCUAUCUUCUUCCCGACCUUUGAAAAUACCCGCUUGCCACCAAAGUCUACCUUUCAUCUCAAUCACAUGCAGAAUGCUCGCGAUCUCUGGUCUAGCCCCAUCAAAGAUAAUUGCGUUCCUAUGCUUCCAGAUUGACCACCACACCAGAAUAAUACCCGUCGCCAGGUAUCGCCUAUCCGAAGCAGCAACCCUCAUGUCAGACCACCACGCGGCUAAGGAGCUAUCACAACUGGGCUGUCAUUCCGGUCGUCUCCAAAGCCCUAGAAUUUUGAACCAAACUUGACGAGCAAAAAUGCAUCCAAGCAGGAGAUGAGCAAUGGAUUCCGACACCUAAUCACAAAAAGGGCAAAGCGUCGGAUGGGGAAAACCUCUUCUCGCCAACCUGUCGGCAGUCCAACAACGGUUCUGCAGCACUAACAACACAAAGAAUUGACAACGCAUGGCCGCCCUCGAUCUCCAAAGCUCCACAGAACAAGGAAUAGAUUCUCUUCCGCCAAAGAAAGCCGCAUAGGCAGAGGAGGCGGAGUAGAUGCCGGACGACGUCCACCCCAACCGGAAGGUGUCCACAUCAGUCGUAAACUCAAUCUGGCCGACCAGCUCCCACGCCACGAGGAACUCAAGAAUGGCUUGUUCCGAGAGGUUGGGAUCCAUGAGCCUCACCCAACCAUGCUCACACAAAGCAAGAGGUUGCAGACGUUAAGCAUUGGAACAACAGCGGGGCACAGUCCGCGAGACUGUCACAAGGAAGCCACCGAUUAGUCCAGAAGGAGACAUCCUGCCCACACCCAAUCGAGACUGUCAUGGCUGCCUCUGCAAUUUCACAGGCAGGCGACAGAAGUUGCAGCCGGAACUCCCCCCACGGUUUGUUGGGCUCAACUUUGCGCAGCUAACACCAUCUAGCUCAGAGAGCCAGGUUCAAUAGCCGUAGGUUAGGGAGACCCAGGGCACCAAACUACUUGGGAGAGCAGACCUUGUCCCAAACCACCAGAGAGUGUCUGCCGCGGGCCUCCUUCCGACCAUGCCACAAUCAAAUUAGUUGAAUGUUUGUAGAUUUAUUUUAUGUAGAAACGCAAAUGCAAAAUCUAAAAGACCCAAUAAAUGUACAUUUAGCAAUGAUUUAAUAAUUUGUUUUAAAAUUAAUCAACUUGAUGCAAUUGUUACGUCAUCUGAAACUUGAUGCAAUUGUUACGUCAUCUGACACGAGUUUGUCUUUCCAUCGUCUUAAACAUUACGAGUCGAUAGUUUGCCCAGCCCUCCACAACUCCUUAUCUCCUUGCCGAGCGACCCAGCCCCCUCGCUCUUCGUCCUCCUCGGUCUUCCUCCUCGCUCGAGCGCCUCCACCGCAGGUUAAUCUCCCCUUCGAUUCUCUCGCUCCCGACCGUUUCUCCUCCCAUCACCCCACGAACGGAUUCCGCCCUUUAGAUCCCCGUUUCAUAACCUUCCCCAAUUCGUAACUGAGGAAAAAAUUAGUGGACCUCCAUAAUUUCUGGGUGUGCCGGUGCACACGCAGCACACCAGCUAGAUUCUCCCAUGCGCCACAUUCCCCACAUCAUGACCGACUCUGCAUUAGGGAGGAAAAUACCUGCGUUCCCCCGGCCUCUUAAUUUCCCCUUUUUGAUUGGAAUUAUCUCUUGUCCAGGAUGGUGACCGGUUAUUUUAAGAAGACGAAUUAAUUCUUUCCAAGAGAGCAAACUAAGCUGUACUUGAUGCAAUUAAUAGUUUUUUUGUAAACCUGUAGUGCUAACUUCAUUUACAUGCCUCUCCAGGGAAUUGUGCAAGGCCAUUUUUAUACAAAAUGGUUCUCUGUCAAGGCUUAUCUGCUGGACAUGCCCAACUGUUCGCUUUUCCUGCUGCUAAGCAUAAGCCUUUCCUCUUAAGAAGAUCGUGCCUUCGUAUUCCAGCAGGAUCGCUGAGUCCAAAGAGCGUACGGCUUCAAUCUGAGAGCAAGAAUUUUUCGGUACGAGCUGUGCAAGGUAUGCAUGUAAUGAAAUAAUUUUCUUCUGGUUAAAUUUACUGCAAUGUAUGAUGCAUAUGCUCUUUUAGACGUGUAUGGUAGAUCGUCCUUAUUCCUUGGGUCUCCAAUGCAAAGUUAUAGUGCUUGUUUGUUAGAUCAAAAGGUAAAGUGUUGUAUAUUUAAAAUGCAAACUUCUUUCUGUUCUUUAUACAAUAUGCUGUCAUUCUCUUACCUUCGCAUACAAAUACGGGGAGGGUUAGUUGCAUUUAGUAGAUAGCAGUACUUUGUACUCUGGAGUCUGGACAAUUAAGUGUCUGUAAAGGUACAUCUUUAGAACUACGCUAACACUUUUUUUUAGUCUGUGCAUGUCCAAGUGCUAAACUAGAGUAUACUAUUGAAUAAUGCAGUUUACUAGUCUAGCGGGGUUCAAAAUAUGGUGAACUCUGUUCUUCUUUUUUUGUAGCAGAACAUCAUUGUUCAGAAUUUUACAAUGUGUGCCAUUCUUGUACUGGACUGCAAGUAUGAUCUACCCUGAAAUAAUUGCUGUUUAUAUGCUGAUAAAUUAUUGCAUCUUAAACUGCGUGGCUUCUGCUGGAGUAUUUUACAGAUUACCUUACACUCUUACAGUGUCUAACACUAAAUUUGAUUUAAACAAUUACAGCCUGCUAACAGUUAGAAACUCACAGAAAUGAUAGCUAAAACUUGAUAUUGCAUAAUCUUUAGUUCCCCUUAGCAACAAUUUUUUGCAGAAGUAAGCUUCAGGGUUAUAUGUUGGAAUUCUGUAGUACUCCCUCCGAUCCAUAUUAAUUGUCGAAAUAUUACAUGUAUCUAGAUGCUUUUUAGGCAUAGAUACAUCCAUAUUUGGUUGGAUCGGAGGGAGUAUGUAUUGAUAUCUAACACAAUAACUUGAUGGAAAAACUUCGCUGAACUUGUACUUGAACUGCUAGUAUAGCAUGGCUGAAAAUUUGAAUUAAACCACUGAAAGACCAUCUAAACCUGCAAGGGUGCCACUGCUUGAACAUAUUGGUAUUAUUUUAAUCAUCGAAUUUAGCAUUGAAUUACCAUUUCUUUUUCUAAUUUCUGGAAUGCUCAUUUGUACCAUCACUGUCUGUGAUUCCUAGCAACAUCUUGUAUGUUCUUGUGAGGACAAAAAAUUUAUGGACAAUUUGCUGCAUUAAACACGGUACAAAUUGACAGUUCAUGAUCAAGCCAAUGGUGAAAUAUGAAUAUUUUCUCAUGAUGUGUAUUUGACUUAUCCAGAGUGUUAAUCAGUCUAACAUAUACCAUCAUAACUUGCGAUCCACUUAUAUUAUACUUUAAUGUUGGUUAGAAUUAAUCUUGGAACUGCGGUAUAUUUACAUGAAUUGUAUGUGUCAGUAUGUGUCUUGUUAGGUAGCUUGCUUUGAUUUCAUUUUGUUACUUGGAUUCUGACACUUGAUCUGAAUUGAUAACACUUAUUUCUUUGAAUAAAUUUCACUGUAAUUAUCAGCUAUAUCUUGCAGCUGGCACUGAUUUUCUUCAAAAUGACACGCUCACAUCAUUUCCGAGGAUGAGUUCCAUCAAUGGAAUUCCACCAUUAUUGACCCAGCACAAUCAGUGUCGAAGAUCUGAAGUUGGUUGUCGGGCUUCAUCUCUAGCAUCAUUCAGCUAUCCUGAGUUGACUGCCAAACCAAGAUGGUGGUGGAGAACUCUAGCAUGUGUGCCAUACUUACUGCCACUCCACAACAUGUGGUCGUAUGCCGAUGUCAUCUACCAAUUGCACACGUACUUGCAGGGAUUUUCAUUGGUUUACACCUUUAUUGACACCAUGACACUGCUCCCGGGGUGGCUCUUGUUGGUGAUAUUUAUGACUGUGUACUUCUUUGUCGUGAGACGGAAGUGGUCACCCCACUUCAUGAGGUUCCAUGUGAUCUUGGCUAUCCUCCUAGACACCGGUUCCCAAGCAGUGGCAACGAUGUGCACCUGGAUGCCCAGCAUCGUGUACCAGGGGAAGCCCAUGCAGCAUUUCUGGAUGGCUAUUGCUUUCAUACAGAUCUUCACGGUGCUCGAGUGCAUGCGGUGUGCUCUUGCUGGGAUGUAUCCAAACGUUCCUUUCAUAUCCCACACAGCUUUUAUCCAUUCUGAUCUGAAUCUCUUCAGGUAGCCAACUGCUCACCAUACCAGGUUUUGGAUAUUGGAAGGAUGGAAAGGGAGAGGGAGGUGCAGAUAGGGUAGUAUUUUUGCAAUAACUACUUACAGUUCUAUCGACAACAUUUUGUUUAUAUUUGCCAGCAAUUUGACCUUUUUCUGUUGCAACAAAAACCCAAACGGUACAAGUGUUUUAGGUAACGCUGUUGACCUUGAAUUUGACCUUUUUCUGUUGCAAUUUGACCUUUUUCAGGUAACGCUGUUGAUUGUCGCAGCUGUUGAAUUGCUUAAAGUGUUUUAGUUAUCUGCAAUUUUGUGUCUAGAAACGUGUGAAUUCAUGUUUCCUCGUGUGCCUUGAAUUGAGCCCCAGCUGGCUAAAAACAGUUAUCAACCUGUCAUCCUUAAGAGCUUGUACAAUGGUGUUGCUCUGGAACCUUUUCGUCUGCCACGUUACGGAGUAUUUUUUUGUUUGUAAUAUUACUUCUCUGAACAUCGUUUAAGCGCGACUCUGAGAAGCACGAGAUGACAACCAAUGUUAUACGCUCUUUUGGCUAUGAAGUGCUGCUAUGCACUUGCAUCAUCAACUAUCUUUACCAUUUUAUAAAGGAUGCAGUUUUUAGCACUGAGGAAUACAAGAGACAACAUAUGACGCUACCGUUGUAUUUUCUGUUGAUUCACAAUGUGGUGGAAACCACAUCAUGGUGAAAACCAUGUUCACAAGUUUAAAAAAAUGAUGUCUAUGCAGGAAUUUAUGUUCUAUAAACAUGUAAACAACGCAGUUCAAACUAACGUUAAUUUCGAAGUCUGGUAAGUCCCCCACCCCACCCACCCACCAACACACACACACCCCACUAUCUCUGCAAAUGUGAUUGAUCAUCAUUUUUAGUUGUUUGAAUCUUGCAUGAAUCUCAGUGAUCGAAUUAGACGGUUGUUGGCAUCGACUUAGAAAUAGCUAUUUCUUAAUCUCCUUAGAAAUAGCAAAACCGCAUAAAUAUAUACAGAGUAUUAUUUGGUUGAUUUUUCUUAAACUUUGUACACAUGAUCUCAACAUGGUUUAAGCGAUAGAUAAGCCAAAAAUCAGCUACUGCAUGGGUUUCUUUUUACUCUGCAUGUAACCUUGUACUCUCUCCGUUUCACAAUUCUUGUGUUGUUUUAGUGUAAAUUUGAACUAAAGUCUAAAACAACGACAAGAAUUAUGGUACAUGGGAAGUAUUUUUUUUUAAAUAACUGUACAUUUGGACUCUCAAAGCCUUAUUAACCACUUGAUUAAAUUUGUACAUUUGGACUCCCAAAUGAUAUACGGUAUUUAUAAAAGCAAUCAUUAAACUGUUCUAAUGAAGCGAUAAUAAAAUAAAAAAGAGCCGAGCCUUUGCAGGAAUACUUGUAUCAAAAUCAUUUGUACUCCAUAGUGUUAAGGCAAACCGUGGUCUACUUAGUCCAAGUGCCUAAUUUUGGAACACAGAAUUUUCGCAUGAUUGUUGUAUGAAAUAGACGUGAAACCAUUUCUCAAGACAAAAACGUGGUGUAGCAGAGUAAACAUUGUGUCUAAAGGUCAUGAAUUUUUUUGUUAUCACCCUAAAUAUAGUUGUGGUGAGAGAGAAAAAGGCGUCCGUAUACAUAAAAAUAGCAGUAAUCUGAUUUCUGCAGACUAGAAACCCUUUUCUGAAUAACAUACGUAAUCUGAAAACAUUAUACCAUAAGUUAUUUCCCGAUGCUAAAUGCUCGGAGAAAAAAAGAAAGAAAGAACGAGGGCUCGUAUACGAAUCUUGAAUAGUACGGGGAUCAAAUCAGAAAAGGUGUGGUGCGUUAAACUGCCUCGUACUUUUUUUUACCCCGGCUUUCGCGUUGCAGCCGGCGUCGCGUCUCUUGCCCUUUGCUUGCUCGGAGCUCAAAUCGCCGCGGAUUCCUUGGCCUCCAAGCAGCGGCCUCACCCCGGCUCGCGCGCGGCCUAGGCAUCCCGGAUCCUCCUCCGCGGCGACCGAUGGCUGCUCUGCUAGCGCCCGCCAUCUCCGGCGAGGUACGAACCUUCAACUGACCCUGUGUCGCACGGAAAACCUAGAUCGUAAAAGCUGCGUGAGAAAUCUGGCUACGUGUAGAUCGUAGGAGGUUAUAGGGUGUUUCUGUUGGCGCAGUUACACCUUGUUCGUGCUUAAUUUGCCUGGUUGGUUCGUUUCGGGGAGACGAUUUAGGGGAUGGGCUCGCGCCGAAUGUGCGAAUCAUGCUUUGUUUUCCACUAGGAGAGUAGGAGGGUCUGUUAGGGCACAACACCAGCUGCUAGAUACAGCACUAAGGGAUAACCUAUUGUAUCCUAUUCAUCUCAUGUCUAGUUGACGCGGAGAGAAUUAGAGAAGGUCGCCUUUCCUACCACUGUAGGUGCUCUUUGGAUGAUGAAUUAGUGCAGUUAUUUUUGCUCGGUGAUUGCAGCGUCUAUCUGCCAUUGAAUUGCCAUAGGUAAGGUUGCCAUCUACUGCCAGUGCUAGUCGUUUCGUGCUAGUAAAUAGUUGAACAGUGCAUUAUAGGUUAGAUGGGAAGUGCUUCAUGUUUCAUGGACAUUAGAACUGCAUUGCAAUGUAUUCAAAUUUUAUUUGGAUUUGAUGGGCUCUGUAGAUUCAGGAUAUGGCUGCAUUGAGCUUAAAAUAGGGGGGCAAGGGGCAUGCCGCUAGGCCUGCGAAACUGCAUGAAAGCAGUACAAAUGUACUGAUGACACCAAACAGUACAAAAGCUUGAUUCUACCGGUUAACACAUUAAAAAAUAAACGUUCUGUUCCACUGCUUAGUAUAACUAUUGACCAAAUCAAAUUAUGCUGGCAUAACUGGGUUGGUUGUUCAGGUGGUUCAUUUUUGACGAUCCAACAUCCAAGUGGUUUAACUUGGAACACAGAAUUGUAGCAUCUGCAGUGGCACUUAGAUUUUCUAUUUUGGGAGAAUUAGGCUGAUAAAUCUGAUUUCUAACUGAGCCAAUGAUUGUAACUGUAAGUUGUAUUACUGUUCUAUAACUUGUCUAUAACUCGUAAGAAUUCUGAAUGGAUUCUCAAUUCUCUGGCCAUUUUGUGAUAUCCAAUUCAAUAUUUAUUUGCAAGUUCGAGGUACGCUUUUGCUGAAAUCAUCAAACUAUAUUUGGUUUUGUAGGUGGGUUUACGGCUUUUACUGGCCCCAUUAAGCUCUAAUGUUGUCGUCCGCACAGCCAGGUAUACUUCAAAUGAAGUAAAUUUAUUAGCAAUGGUUUUAAUCUGGCUGUUUAUUUUCAUGUUCUGCUUCUUAUAAGUUGAUUGUUUCUUUGUGAAGUUUUUUUUAAAUUGUUAUGUUUUUGUAUUUUCAAGGCAGUUGCAUAGAGCAUGUUAAUGAAUUAAUUAAGAGCUGUCUGGAAUUCAUCAGUAUUUGUAGUUGAUAACUUGCUACAAAUUACUUCUAUUAUCAUUAUUUCUUGCAUAUUAGCAGCAUCCAGUUAAUUAUUUUGUCCAUGGUGAUAGCUGAAAGCAAGUGUAACAUCUCGUAGGCAUAUUCUCAUUUCCUAAAUUCUAGCUGCGUGAGACAGCAUCAUCUGCAUUAUAUACUACUCCGUACAUUCUUAUUGGCUGUUAGGUCUAGGUGGUAAUAUGCUAAUGUGAAGUUACAUGAUACUCUAGUUGGAUGCAACCUAUACUUAUUCUAGCAAACCCUGUUAAAAAAUGAGGGAAUUUUCUGUGGUUAAGAAAUUCAUCAUUGUUUAUGAUCCUCGCUCCAUGCUUGUACAGUUGUGCAGUGGGCAUUGGUCUACCUGUAUAUUCUACUUACAGGGCCAUAGAAAAGAAAGAUCAAGAUGAGAAAGAGCGUUUGCUCCUUUAUUGGGCAGGUCUGUAAAUGAUUUAUACUAUAGUUAUUUUUUCAAUGAUACUGACAAAGCAAUUUCUUCAGUUGACAUUCUUUAUGAAAUACUCUAUUAUUGUACUAGUAUUAUUUUGCUAAAAUAAAAGGUGAAAUUACAUCACGUCAUAGUACCUUUUGAAAUUACUUGUAACUUGUCUGGUAUCUACAGCCACACUCUCCAUUGACUCCAAAUGUAAUUCAGCAUUACUCAAUUAGUUUUGAUGAAAGUGGUAUCUUUGUCAGUCAAGGAGCAACUGCACGAUGACACAUGAAACACUUUUUUGGAUGCUACCAAUCAUCAAAAGAAAACUUGGCGUACAUUAACCCACCUUGUCAUCUUGAUAUGAUUGUUUAGUUGAUGAAAUACCAAUAUGACUAUGGAUAUUGGUAUAAAGACUUCACUGUGAUGUAUGCGAUCUGUAUGUACAUCUCUAAACAAUAGGAAACGAAUGAAAAUGUUUAGUAUGUAUGGGUCAAAUGAACAUUUAACAGGUAUCUUCACUGUGUUUUAGUCUAACAUAUAUGGUUAAGGUUUUCUAAAUUGGUUGUUGCUUGUUACUUGUUACUUGUAACAUUUAUGUCCCUAUGUUUUGCAGCAUAUGGAUCUUUCAGCAUGGUGGAAGUUUUUGCUGAUAAGCUUAUUUCAAGGUAUGGACAUUUGAUGACAUGAUGGAACAUCAGUUUCUUGUUAUUUGUAGCAUGAUUGGCGAUAGGAAUGACACUAAUGUGGCAUCCUUCGUAACCUUUUGGAACUGCUCCUUGUAUCUUUGUAUCAGAUCCCAUGUAAGACAAGCUUCAUGCAAAUAUACACACAGAACAAGUGAACAUGUCUUACAUAUGGAAGUGGCUACAUCCUUUUUAGGCUGUAACUUAUGAGCAACCAAAUGAUUACAAAUUGUGCAAACUAUUUUAGUACCACCGCAUGGAAGGCUUUUGGUUGCCUAAUUUUUUUUUAGUAGCAUCAAUGAGCAGGACGAUCCUGUAUUUGUGAUUACCCCUCAGCCUGCUACGUGCUUAGUUUUAUAAAGCACUGUUGCUUCAUGAUUUAUUAAAUUUAUGUAUGUUAUCCUUGAACUGGAACCUUCUGGUUAAAUCCUUGAUGCAGGAUGCAUCACAGUUUUGUCUGAUUGCUCCUAGUAAGUUACUCCCUCCGAUCCAUAAUAAGUGUUACAAAUUUUGUAGCAACUUAACAUAAAGUUGUACUAAAUCUGAGACACUUAUUAUGGAUCAGAGGGAAUAGAAUACUGGUAUGGAGUGUAAUGGCUGCCAUACCUCGGUGCGGUGUACGGUUCCAAAUACUAAAGGGGACGUGAAUGACUGGGUUCUUGUUUUUUGUUUCGCUGACUGGUUCACCGCAGUAUGCCCCCUUUUUUGCAUGCCUAUUUAAAUUUAUAUACUUAGAUCUUGAUUUCUUAAAAAAAAUGUAUUCAAAACUAGUUUAUCAAACCAGACCGGUAUUAGGGCCCUUAAAUUUCACGGUUUACUGGAGAAAACUCGAACUGUACAGGUCUAACUGUUCCUGAUCCUGAUUGGGUAUAGAAGUUGUAUUGGAAACUUGUAACCAGUGGGCAUUGCAUUUGAAGCAUAAACUCACUUGCUGACAACAACUAAUCGUUCUAUGCAUGUUCUAAGUAAAUUUUGUACAACUGAAUAUAUAUUCAUCCUACUGGAAUCUUUCCUGUAUAACAUUAUAGAAAAAUGCUGAUUUAAAACACUUGGGCUGAUAUAUGUGAAUGAAACAUUUAUUGACUGAAAAGGGUACAUUGAGAAUCAUUUUAGUUAGAAAUCCUAAAGUGCCGCCUCUAAAUUUCAGGGCAAUACUGGAAUGCUGCCUUUUGUCUUCUCUAGCAUAUGUCUUGUAAUGAUGUAUUGCUAACUGAUAUUGUACCAUUGCAGCAAGUUACUCUCAGUCCUUCCUGUCCUGGAAAGUGGAAACUAUCUGAUCAUUUUGUACUCUGUUGCUGUUUUGCAGUGUUCCUCUUUAUUACCAUGUGAAAUUCGCUAUCCUUGUGUGGCUCCAGUUCCCUUCAAAUGGUGUAAGUCAUAAACCAGUUUUGUGUUAGGAGUGUUAAUAUGUAUUUUUCAUAUUCCUAUAUGUAUGACCGAAAGCUAUAUUCCGUAAUAAUUUUUGUUGUUGGUAAAAUUACCAUAUCAGGGAAGUAAAAUAAACGAAGCAUAUGAUUUUUAAUUAUGUUUUGCUGUUAUUAAUUUAAAGAAGUAACAAAUUAGUGUUGAAGAGGAUAGACGUAUUAUAUGAAUGUCAGCAAUGGACUUGGUAUAGCGAUUUCAAUAUCAAGAAACGCAAAGGCCAACCCAACUGGGCUGGUUCAAAUAAUGGUUAGUCGGUUGACAUUGUAUGAUUAUGACAGAAAAAUGUGCAGUCGUAGGUUUAUGUACCCUGCAGUGCAACAUUUGAUUGUUGGUUACAACCUGAAGCUCGAAUCAUGAUGCAUGGCAUCUGUUUGUCUAUUCAUUCCUUGGACCAGUUUUAUUUUCACAAAUAGCGCUUUAAUUAAUUGACUGUAUAGCUAAAAGCCUGUAUAGAGCGUUAAAGUGUUUAGCAUCAUCCACAUGCUUGUGUUGCAAGAUUCUGCUCCUUUUCAGCCAGAUGAUGAAAUAUUGUUGACUAGAAGUUCAAUCUAAAUGAUCCAGUAGAAUCACAGCCUUCUAUAUACUGACAGGUGUUCUUUUUUUAACUUACAGGGAUCAAAGCAUGUGUACAGAAGAUACCUGCGGCCGUUUUUCCUGAAGCAUCAAGCAAAAAUUGAUAGAAUUCUGAAUAUUAUGUCCAAAGAACUUGUAAGCGUGUCUUGGUCUUCAUGUCAUCAUGCAUAUUUUAGAGUAUAUACCACUAAUGGAUAUAAUAUUGUCACAAACAAACCAGACGAAGUUUGUGAGCAACCAUGAAGACGAAAUCCGUUUCGUAGAGAACUUGGCUAUCAGAGGUGCUACAACAGGUACAGAUCGGGAAGUAGAUCCUUUUAUGAUUUGAGAGAAAAAAAAACAGCAUGCUUGUGCAAACAAUGCUUAAAAUUGGAUAUUUGGGUGUACAUAUUAAAUAUCUAGUAAUAAAUUGGGGCCCUAACUUGUUCUUAAGCAUUGAUUUCUAUGGGUUGAUCUCUACAAGUCUGUUUGCCUCAAGCCCUCAAUAUAAUCUCCCAUGUGCAUAUUGUUUAGCCUAUGAUGCCUACCCCUUAUUUUAUUUUUUUCAACUUCCAUCUUGCCGAAGGCCUCAACCAUUUUCUGCACUCGUAAUAUUUGAACUAUAGGCAACCUUUUCACUAUCUUAAAACUGUAUACUGCCAUGUCUUUUCUUGUUGUAUAAUAUGUUCUCUCGUAGAGUUAUUAUUUUCACAAGUAUAAUAUCCCUCUGCCUCCAUACCUGCAAUUGCACCAUGCGGCUUCAUGUUUUUCACAUUAAGAACUCCAAAUUUUAAGUUGAAGUAAUUCUGGGUUGCUUGUGCUUGGAACAGCAAGUUAUAUAGUAAAUGGUGUCGACCAACCUGGACAACCAGAAGAAGUUAACACAGCCGAAGGCCCGAAUUCAACUGCUACGGAAGAAGCCGACACACCGAGAGGCGAAACUCGAGCUUGACUGUUUGUCUCUGCCAAAUGUAUCUUGUGCAGCAAGUACCAUCUUGUUGGAUAUGCUGC
rnacentral:lncRNA from 1 species